UCUUCUCAUUCUGCACCAGAGCUUUAGUCCAGUCCUUUCCAUAGGCAAAUUCCCCCAGGGUCUAUGGUCCUGUGCAGAAUGCAGAAAUGAUAAUUGAUAGAAAUUGCAAUUAAUAUAAAUAAGACAUAAUUACAGUUCCACAUGAUUUAAUGCAAGUCACUGCCAAAGAAGCCAAAGCAGAGGUUUCUGCAUAUCAUGGACAGUGGGAUGGUACAAAACCAGCCUGAUCUGCUUCAGGUGGCCUGUUAGUUCAGAGGCUUGAGCUUGACCAUAGCUCCUGACUCUUUUGUAAGGUAACAAGCUAGGUGGGUGCCAGGCAGGAGCUAAAGGUUUAUUUAGCCUGUGCUAUGGGUGAGCAAGCAGCAAAGGGAAUAGCAUGGACUGUUGGGCUAAGCCUGCCAUGCACAGGAUCUGAUGUGUCUCAGGGCAAGCAGGCCCUAGGGACAGAGUGGUCAUGGCAUGGGAAAAGAAUGGCCUGAUGGUUUUCCACUCUUAAAUUUCCCUUCUCCCACAGUAUAGAUCAGGAUUGCAGCAUCAGGAACAGGAGCCUGGGAGGCAGCAGUGCUGCUCUGGCUCAGCAUCCACAGAGGAAGUGAUCCAUGAGAAGGGCAGGAGUGGAACACAGGCACAAAGACAGUUACCUCAUUAUUGACCAUCAAAAAACCCUGUUUUGCGACACUGAAGAAACUCACAAGAAAAUUGAGAUCUUUCUCCGUGUGUCACUGUCUUUAUUCAGCUGGAAUGGAUUGUUUAUAUGAAAGAAAAAAAUCCCUACCUCUAGGGAUUACCUCUCUAGGGUGCCCCAGCUCCCCAUGUGCCUGGCUGGCGUGCAGGUGACAGUCACUGCUGUGUUGCAGCCAAAACGUGGAGUCUGCAGACAGCUGAAGUCCCAGUGGUGGAGCAGGACCUGGGGCAUGAGCCGUCCCGAUGGGAGUUACGGGAGAGGCAAGGCAGGCCAAGAUGGAGAGCCCAGAGCCAGGAGGGACUGCUGUGCAGAAAGCCUGAGAGCAG